GAUGAACGCUGGCGGCGUGCUUAACACAUGCAAGUCGAACGGGAAACCUUUUAAAGAAGCUUCGGCAGAUUUAGCUGGUUUCUAGUGGCGGACGGGUGAGUAACGCGUGGGUAACCUGCCUUGUACAGGGGGAUAACAGUCAGAAAUGACUGCUAAUACCGCAUAAGCGCACAGGACCGCAUGGUCCGGUGUGAAAAACUCCGGUGGUAUAAGAUGGACCCGCGUUGGAUUAGCUAGUUGGUGGGGUAACGGCCUACCAAGGCGACGAUCCAUAGCCGGCCUGAGAGGGUGAACGGCCACAUUGGGACUGAGACACGGCCCAGACUCCUACGGGAGGCAGCAGUGGGGAAUAUUGCACAAUGGGGGAAACCCUGAUGCAGCGACGCCGCGUGAAGGAAGAAGUAUCUCGGUAUGUAAACUUCUAUCAGCAGGGAAGAAUUAGGACGGUAC
rnacentral:rRNA from 1 species